rnacentral:ncRNA from 2 species
UUCAAUAAUGUGGAAAUAGGUGCUCUAGAAUAACUUGAGCUUAAAAGGGAAGUUCGGUGUAAUACCGACGCGGUCCCGCCACUGUAACAGAGGAGUCGCUGCUAAAAACCACUGAUCUCAGAUCGGGAAGGAGAGCAGAUGGAUGACGAUUCUGGAGCCAGGAGACCUGCCUAUUUUGACAACACUGC